rnacentral:rRNA from 1 species
AUAAUGGGUCAGCGACUUAUAUUCUGUAGCAAGGUUAACCGAAUAGGGGAGCCGAAGGGAAACCGAGUCUUAACUGGGCGUUAAGUUGCAGGGUAUAGACCCGAAACCCGGUGAUCUAGCCAUGGGCAGGUUGAAGGUUGGGUAACACUAACUGGAGGACCGAACCGACUAAUGUUGAAAAAUUAGCGGAUGACUUGUGGCUGGGGGUGAAAGGCCAAUCAAACCGGGAGAUAGCUGGUUCUCCCCGAAAGCUAUUUAGGUAGCGCCUCGUGAAUUCAUCUCCGGGGGUAGAGCACUGUUUCGGCAAGGGGGUCAUCCCGACUUACCAACCCGAUGCAAACUGCGAAUACCGGAGAAUGUUAUCACGGGAGACACACGGCGGGUGCUAACGUCCGUCGUGAAGAGGGAAACAACCCAGACCGCCAGCUAAGGUCCCAAAGUCAUGGUUAAGUGGGAAACGAUGUGGGAAGGCCCAGACAGCCAGGAUGUUGGCUUAGAAGCAGCCAUCAUUUAAAGAAAGCGUAAUAGCUCACUGGUCGAGUCGGCCUGCGCGGAAGAUGUAACGGGGCUAAACCAUGCACCGAAG